ACUGCAUGAAGUCGGAAUCGCUAGUAAUCGCAGAUCAGCAAAGCUGCGGUGAAUACGUUCCCGGGCCUUGUACACACCGCCCGUCACACCAUGGGAGUCGGGAAUGCCCGAAGUCAGUGACCCAACCGAAAGGGGGGAGCUGCCGAAGGCAGGCCUGGUAACUGGGGUGAAGUCGUAACAAGGUACC
rnacentral:rRNA from 1 species